GGAGAAUUGGCCGGCUGCACAGAUGAGUGGAGGGGGAUCAGGGCAGCCCUCAGGAGGGUUCUCGUCCUCCCCGCCCUCACAGUCAUAGUCUCCGUCACACAUCCACUGCUUGGAGAUGCAGCGUCCUGUGCCGUCAGAAGGUUCAUCCGAGCCAUCCGGACAGUCACUGUGGCCAUCACAAACCCACGUCCGGGGGAUGCAGUUGCUGUCAUUACAUUUGAAAUACUCUGUGGAUGAGCAGCAGAACAACAGGAUUACAAAGUCUAAUUCAGGAGCCCAUGGAUGAAAAAGACAAGCAGACAAGAGGCAACAGCAAUACAACAGACAGGAAGGAAACACUGCACCACUAGAUCACUCACCCUCAGCACAAGAGUAGACACAAGUGGCUUCAUCGCUGGGCUGCCCUCCGUCCUCCUCAUCCUGGCAGUCGUUCUCACCAUUGCACACAAAGCUCACAGCAAUGCACCGCCCAUUCUUGCACUGGAAGGUUCCAUUGGGGCAGGACGAGCUCUCCACUGGUUCAGUUACUGUCAAGGGUGUUUCAGUGUAAGCAGAAAUGAGUA